UACGGAGGGUGCAAGCGUUAAUCGGAAUUACUGGGCGUAAAGCGUACGUAGGCGGCCUGUUAAGCAAGAUGUGAAAGCCCCGGGCUCAACCUGGGAAUGGCAUUUUGAACUGGCAGGCUCGAGUUUUGAAGAGGGUGGUAGAAUUUCCUGUGUAGCGGUGAAAUGCGUAGAUAUAGGAAGGAAUACCAGUGGCGAAGGCGGCCACCUGGUCAAAAACUGACGCUGAGGUACGAAAGCGUGGGGAGCAAACAGG
rnacentral:rRNA from 1 species